UACAGAGGUCCCAAGCGUUGUUCGGAUUCACUGGGCGUAAAGGGUGCGUAGGUGGCGAGGUAAGUCGGAUGUGAAAUCUCCGAGCUCAACUCGGAAAUGGCAUUGGAAACUACCUUGCUCGAGGGUUGGAGGGGGGACUGGAAUGCUUGGUGUAGCAGUGAAAUGCGUAGAUAUCAAGCGGAACACCAGUGGCGAAGGCGGCGACCUGGGCCAAUACUGACGCUGAGGUGCGAAAGCGUGGGGAGCAAACAGG
rnacentral:rRNA from 1 species